rnacentral:lncRNA from 1 species
GCCUGCAUGGCCAGCCAGCAGCGUCACAAGGACAGACCACAGCAGGAACAGCCAGGGAGGAAGUGCAGCCCCAGUAUCAGCCCAUUUCCUGACCCUCUUCCUCUGCUCUGGGAGGUUCUCUUUCUCUCUUUGUCUUCUGUCUAUCUGUCUGUCUGUCUGUCUUUCUCAGUUCUUUGUUUUUACACAAGGCAACAGCCAUGCUGCUGUCCUGGUCCACGUGGCAAGAGAUCCCAGCAGCAAUGAGCCGCAAGCCUGACUACUCCACUUUCUCCGCCCCACCCCGCGCGGGCUGGACCGGCCCCCUGCUCCACAGAAGUGGCAGCGACUUGCCUGGAGACCCAGCUGUCCGCGCCGCCGCCCCCUGGGCGCCCUCCGGGAUCCGCACGCGCAGCGCAGUGGGGUCUGGGCGGGCGGGAGGCGACCUCAGACUGCCAGGGAGCCUGGGUGCCGAGGGCGGGGCUGCUGCUGACUUAGCCUGCCUGACUGGUCAGACUUCCCGCGCCCCUCUGUUCCUGAGUCGCCUUGGGCCCCUUGCCCUGGUUCCAGAAAGUUUAUAGGCUACACAGCCGGCAGGAGCCCUGCUUUUCUCCCCUCCGGGGUUGCACCCCUGAAACCCCCACCCCCUCUCGCCCUCCCAUGUUACCUGCAUGCAUUUUGUCCUUUUUGCUUUCCUGCCUCUUCCAUACAGUGAACUGUGGGCAUGCAUGACCCUAUAAUAAAAAUCCAAUACAUUUAUUAAUAAAGCAUUAAUCAAAUCUCCAGAGGCCCCCCCAAGGUUCAAGCUGAAGGAAAACCCUCAGUCUGGUACACAAGGCCCUCUCGGACAAACUCUCUGUCCACCAGCUGAUUUCCCAGCCUUACCAGGUCUUGCCCAACACACACACAUACACAUGCAUCCCUGCUAGGCACACAGACUGUUGCCCAAAAGUCACAGCUGGGAGUUCUUGCUUUGCCUGGAAUGCCCUUUCCCUUUGUUGUCUGCCUGUGGAGCUCCUACUCAUGCAUCCAGGCCCCACUGAAAUGUCCCCUUCUCCCUGAAUCCUUCCCCAGAAAACCUCAGUUCCCUUUCUGCUGGUC